ACUAGCAGUGUUAGGCGUUGUCAAAACCUGAAGCAUAUUCCAUGUUAUCAUCCACGUAGAAAACAAAGAAAAACAAUUACACCCACAAGUUAACAUGCAUCUGGUGAAAGUUGUUUUCUUUUCAGCAACUGUACAAGUUGGUUUAUCUUUGACGUGUUAUACUUGCCAUUCUUCCUCAAACUGGACUCAAUGUGAUACAAGUCGAACAAAAUACGUUUGCGAGCCCUGGUUGGAUGUUUGCACUAAGACAAGAGCAACUUUCGACAUCCAGGGAAACAAAUUUGAUGUUUACGAGCGCGGAUGUUUUGUAGGCGAUUUUUGUAACACAGUGGCUUGCAAGCAUAUUGGCCAAGCCGAAAACUGUGAUAUCACGUGCUGCGACUACGAUUUGUGCAACGAUACUGCCUUGCUAACAUCAAAUAAGAUUUUCAUCGUUGUUCCAGUGAUUUUCAUCUUCUUCGGGUAUGCUGCUGAUUGAUCGCAACCAAUCCAAGCCAACGAUGGUGAUUAUAACUUCUGCACUUUGAUAUUUAGGAAUUUUAUUAAAUGCUGGCGGUAACAUGUUACUUAGUCGUCUAGCGGGCUACGUUGGACUUUGGACUUUGUUCAAGAAAUUAUUCAUGACUUAAGUUAAAGGCAUGUUCUGCCACUCUUGGCAAGAGAUUUUUGUGUUCACACUCGUGUUUGUAAUUCAAGGCCAUAGAGAGAGGGGGAGUAAGUGCUUGAAAAUGUAUGUCCGAAAAGAUGCUGAGCAAAUCACCGCAGAGAUGUUGUUGACUGGGGACAAUGCAUUACAAAAGGAGCCAUAAGGGACCUACUGAUCUGUUGAUAUGUACGUCUUGCUAUUUAAACAUAGCGACCCCAUAUUUAAGGCGAGAAAGAUUUCUACGAUCAAAACAAUGUGCUCACGGCAAUUUUAUUUUAUCGGCAUUUUUAACGCGAUGUGUUUUUUUGUAGCAAACACGUGAGGAUAAGAUAGUUAUGGAAUUUUUAUUGAACUGAUAAGUAACAUUCAAGCUCAUGAGUUGGUGGGAUUAAAAUUGAACGAAAAGAGUUACAGUAAUUGAUGAACGUGUCCCCGAGUAGGAAAUUACUCUAAGAAAUUGGACAAAUUGCUGUCCUCGAAUAUUUGUAUUAAGUCUGAAGAGCACGAGAAGAGCUCGCAUAAGGCAUAGGUAAGUUCCUUCCGCACGUCCUUUACCUAGCCUUUUUUUGCACCUUUAUGAUAAAUGGGAUUUCUGGAGUCAAGAAUUAUCACAAACUUAUCUAGCAUCAAAUAACUGAAGGGCUUUGUAUGGUCGAGUAUUGAUUUGCAUGUAGAGUUACACCUUGACAAUGACCAAGACAACUUUGCAUUGACGCCAAUAGGUUUAUUGAUUUUUCACCAAAUAUAUAGGACAUAUUAAUAAAAAUGAGACCCUCCUUUGUAUAUAAUUUUAGCCACAAUAUCUGACCAGACGAUUAAAAAUAAAAGGAAUCAAAUCGUA